rnacentral:rRNA from 1 species
AGCAGAUAUCACCUUAUCCGGGAUCCUCAUAUGGAUAACUGCGGAAAUACUGGAGCUAAUACAUGCAACUAUACCCCAACGCAAGGCGGGGUGCAAUUAUUAGAACAGACCAAACGUUUUCGGACGUUGUUUGUUGACUCUGAAUAAAGCAGUUUACUGUCAGUUUCGACUGACUCUAUCCGGAAAGGGUGUCUGCCCUUUCAACUAGAUGGUAGUUUAUUGGACUACCAUGGUUGUUACGGGUAACGGAGAAUAAGGGUUCGACUCCGGAGAGGGAGCCUUAGAAACGGCUACCACGUCCAAGGAAGGCAGCAGGCGCGAAACUUAUCCACUGUUGAGUAUGAGAUAGUGACUAAAAAUAUAAAGACUCAUCCUUUUGGAUGAGUUAUUUCAAUGAGUUGAAUACAAAUGAUUCUUCGAGUAGCAAGGAGAGGGCAAGUCUGGUGCCAGCAGCCGCGGUAAUUCCAGCUCUCCUAGUGUAUCUCGUUAUUGCUGCGGUUAAA